rnacentral:rRNA from 1 species
GUCUACGGCCAUACCACCCUGAACACACCCGAUCUCGUCUGAUCUCGGAAGAAAGGUCACAUUAUAGGUAGAGUUAUGUAAAUAUGUUCAUGAAGAGAAAGGAACGCAGAGACC